rnacentral:misc_RNA from 1 species
UCCAGUUUAUCACUGGCAGUCUCGCUAGAGUCCUCAACUUAAUGUUAGCAACUAACGACGAGGGUUGCGCUCGUUGCGGGACUUAACCCAACAUCUCACGACACGAGCUGACGACAACCAUGCACCACCUGUCUCCUCUGUCCCCGAAGGGAAUGGCAUAUCUCUAUACCCGUCAGAGGGAUGUCAAGGCCUGGUAAGGUUCUUCGCGUUGCGUCGAAUUAAACCACAUGCUCCACCGCUUGUGCGGGUCCCCGUCAAUUCCUUUGAGUUUCAGUCUUGCGACCGUACUUCC